rnacentral:tRNA from 1 species
UUAUUCUUAGUAUAAGUAUUACGUUUUACUUACAAUAAAAAAAUGUUUUGUGACAGAGUAAA